rnacentral:rRNA from 1 species
GAUGAGCGCUGGCGGCGUGCCUAAUACAUGCAAGUCGAGCGAACGGACGAGAAGCUUGCUUCUCUGAUGUUAGCGGCGGACGGGUGAGUAGCACGUGGAUAACCUACCUAUAAGACUGGGAUAACUUCGGGAAACCGGAGCUAAUACCGGAUAAUAUUUUGAACCGCAUGGUUCAAAAGUGAAAGACGGUCUUGCUGUCACUUAUAGAUGGAUCCGCGCUGCAUUAGCUAGUUGGUAAGGUAACGGCUUACCAAGGCAACGAUGCAUAGCCGACCUGAGAGGGUGAUCGGCCACACUGGAACUGAGACACGGUCCAGACUCCUACGGGAGGCAGCAGUAGGGAAUCUUCCGCAAUGGGCGAAAGCCUGACGGAGCAACGCCGCGUGAGUGAUGAAGGUCUUCGGAUCGUAAAACUCUGUUAUUAGGGAAGAACAUAUGUGUAAGUAACUGUGCACAUCUUGACGGUACCUAAUCAGAAAGCCACGGCUAACUACGUG